UACGUAGGUGGCAAGCGUUGUCCGGAUUUACUGGGCGUAAAGAGCGCGCAGGCGGUCGUUCAAGUCGCGUGUGAAAGCCCCCGGCUCAACUGGGGAGGGUCAGCGCCGAUACUGAUCGACUCGAAGGCAGGAGAGGGUAGUGGAAUUCCCGGUGUAGUGGUGAAAUGCGUAGAUAGUCGGGAGGAACACCAGUGGCGAAGGCGACUACCUGGCCUGUUCUUGACGCUGAGGCGCGAAAGCUAGGGGAGCAACGGG
rnacentral:rRNA from 1 species